AUUGAACGCUGGCGGCAUGCCUUACACAUGCAAGUCGAACGGUAACAGGUCUUCGGACGCUGACGAGUGGCGAACGGGUGAGUAAUACAUCGGAACGUGCCCAGUCGCGGGGAUAACUACUCGACAGAGUAGCUAAUACCGCAUACGAUCUGAGGAUGAAAGCGGGGGACCUUCGGGCCUCGCGCGAUGGGCGCGGCCGAGGGCAGACUAGGGUGGUGGUGGGAUAAAAGCGUACCAAGCCAACGAUCUGUAGCUGGUCUGAGAGGCCGACCAGCCACACUGGGACUGAGACACGGCCCAGACUCCUACGGGAGGCAGCAGUGGGGAAUUUGGGACAAUGGGCGAAAGCCUGAUCCAGCAAUGCCGCGUGCAGGAUGAAGGCCUUCGGGUUGUAAACUGCUUUUGUACGGAACGAAAAAGUCUCCUCUAAUACAGGAGGCCCAUGACGGUACCGUAAGAAUAAGCACCGGCUAACUACGUGCCAGCCGCCGCCGUAA
rnacentral:rRNA from 1 species